UGGUGGACGGCGCGCGAGGGAGCACUCACUGCUUCCUCUUCAGCUCCCUUGCGCGCCGCAUAGGGAUGCCGGAGCCGGAAGAUGACGUCAUCUUCCGGCUCCGGCAUUAGUAAGGUGCGCGAGGGAGCUGAAGAGGAAGCAGUGAGUGCUCCCUUGCGCGCCGGCCAC